GAUGAAGAACGUAGCAAAAUGCGAUAAGUAAUGUGAAUUGCAGAAUUCAGUGAAUCAUCGAAUCUUUGAACGCACAUUGCGCCUGCUGGUAUUCCGGCGGGCAUGCCUGUUCGAGCGUCAUUUCAACCCUCAAGCCCCCGGGUUUGGUGUUGGGGAUCGGCUCUGCCCUUCUGGGCGGUGCCGCCCCCGAAAUACAUUGGCGGUCUCGCUGCAGCCUCCAUUGCGUAGUAGCUAACACCUCGCAACUGGAACGCGGCGCGGCCAUGCCGUAAAACCCCAACUUCUGAAUGUUGACCUCGGAUCAGGUAGGAAUACCCGCUGAACUUAAGCAUAUCAAUAAGCGGAGGA
rnacentral:misc_RNA from 1 species